rnacentral:lncRNA from 1 species
AGGGCCGGGACUGUGGACUCGAUGGGAGGUUCAUUUGAGUUGGGUCCUAGCAUGAGUAUGAGCCAGGCGUUCGGGCUUGGCAUGGCACUAAGUUCUGGACUUGGGGCUUGAGAUGAAGUUGGGCACUUGCAUACAGUUGAACAGUCAGGCACACUUGGCUUAUGGGAGUCAGGCAGCAUGGCGCAAGGGUGAGAGAGGCAGGUUUGGGUGUGACUUGAACAAGGGCACGGCCGGCUCAAGGGAGAGUCAACAUCCACCACGAGUCCUCCAUGACACAGAGGCGACAUGGGUGAAGAGUUCCUAUUGGGUCAGAGAUAGUGGGCUCUCCUGGAUAGUGGAUCGUGAUGGGCUUGGGUCAGAGUUGAAGCCCAUGACAAGGGCGACUAGGUUCGAUGUAUGUGUUAUACACUUAUACAUAUCUUGUAAUGAAUGGCAUAUCUCCAAAUAUGGAAGGAGGAGAUAUGACAUGUCAUAAAAGAUAUGGGAUAAGGAGAAGCUUCUAGAAUGUUGGAGAAGAUCAGGAGCAUGAUUUGGCAUAUCUCUUAUUCAAGGAAAGAAUCGAGGAUGAGUCAGCAUAUCUUGAAGAUCUCAGCAUUUAUGGAGAAGAUUGGAUGGGCCUUAGGCCAUCCCAAAAGCCCGUGACUCGACCUAUAUAAGGAGGAGCAACUUCAUUCUCUUCAUUCAUUCAGAGUUGGAGAGCAAUCACUUGUAGAGAGAAGUGAGAGCAAAUACAGAGAGAGCUACUUAGAGUUCUAGAGAGAGAAAGAGCUUUGUAGUAGGCACUCUUGUAUUCUAGCAGUUAGUGGGUAGCUGGUCCCAAUACAUAAGGACAGCUAGCCUAGAUUGUUAGGACCUUUUUGUGUUAAUAAAAAGGUUGGGGGUUUCCCCGAAUAUCGUGGCUCUUGUGGUUCUGUUGUUUAUUACUAACCCCUUUUGUAGGUUGGGUUAGCUGCGCAUUGCUGGCCAAGCUCUAGGAGUAGAGUUGGCGCAUCACUUAGGCGAAAAUUUUAGCCGUCUUAGUAUGCUUCCGCACGCCUUCGUGACAUUUGGUAACCAGAGCCAGGUUCGUGUCAAAACUUGGUUGGAGUUAUGGCUGGUCCUACAGUUGCUGCACUUAGUGACCGGGUUGCUGCACUUGAGGCUUUGAUUGGUGCCCCGCCGACUGAUGCGGAGCCUUUGGAGGAACGGUUCGCAGUUGUGAGGUCUGAUAUUGAUAAUAAUAGACGGGUCCUUGAGAAUCACAUGAUGGAAUCUGAAGAGAGAUUUGCUCAGUUGGAGAAAUCUUCUGCAGAGCUUUGUGAGGAGGUGACUAUCUUGAGGAAGGCUGUGGCUGUUGGGGGCAAUACCUCGGGUGACAACGGGAGAAAGAUAAAGGUGCCUGAACCUAAGUCAUUUGAUGGGGGUAGAGAUGCCAAGGCAUUGGAAAAUUUCUUGUGGGAUAUGGAGCAGUAUUUCAAGGCGGCUCAUAUUCCUGACGGUGAACAAGUGACUGUGGCUAGUAUGUAUCUUGCUGGUGACGCUAAGUUGUGGUGGCCUACCAGGAUGGUUGAUUCUGAUGGCACAGAGAGGCCUAAGGUGGAGACUUGGGAGGUGUUAAAGAAGGAGCUCAAGGAGCAGUUCUUGCCUCUUAAUGCUGCAUGGGUGGCUAGGGAGAAGCUCAAGCACUUGAAGCAGACGGGCACUGUGCGAGAAUAUGUGAAGGCAUUCACUUCUUGCUUGUUGGACAUUCGUGACAUGGCGGAGACGGACAAGUUGUUCAACUUUGUUUCAGGUUUGAAGCCAUGGGCAAAGGCUGAGCUAAGGAGACAUAAUGUCAAGGACGUGUCGGCGGCUAUUAUAGUAGCAGAUGGCUUGGUGGAUUAUAAUUUUGCAUCAGGUUCUAGUGACAAGGGGAAGAAAACCUCUGGUGCAAGGGAAAAGUUGCAAAAGUUGAAAUCCAAGGGCAAAAAGAAGGUCCAAGACGGGGAUCAAGGCAAAGCCAAAGUCAGUGGAGGGCAGACAAAGAAGCCGUUGCGGUGUUAUAUUUGUGAAGGUCCUCACGUGAUGAAGGAUUGUCCUAAGAAGGAGAAGCUGAGUAGCCUACGGGAGGAAAGUGGGGAGGAACCUACAAGGGUGAAUCCACUUCGUAUGUUGAAUGCACUACAGACAAAGGAAGCUGUGAAGUCCUCUAGUUUGUUAUAUGUGCAAGUGGCCAUCAAUGGACAUGAUGUGAUGGCGAUGGUAGACACGGGUGCUACUAAUAACUUCGUGGCUGACAGGAAUGUGGAGUUUCUGGGCUUGGCUUUGAAAGCAAGCACGAGCCGCGUCAAAGCUGUGAAUUCUGAGGCCCAGUUGAUCAAAGGGUCGUCACAGUCGGAUAUCACAGUUGGAUCUUAGACGGGUAAGGUGAAUCUCUUAGCUGUUCCCGUUGAUGAUUUUGAUGUGAUAUUGGGGAUAGACUUCUUGUUGAAAGCUAAGGCUUCUGUGAUGCCACAUAUUGGUGGGUUGAUGAUUGAGGAUGCAAGCAACCCUUGCUUUGUGAAGGGUGUGCUAGGCAGGGACUCUGGGAAGAAGAAGACCGAACUGUUAUCUGCUAUGCAGGUUGAAGCAGGGUUGAAACGUGGUGAGGAGACAUUUCUAGCUGCCCUUGUGGAGGUGAAACCGGAUCAACAUGUUGAAGUUCCGGAUGCUGUUGCUUCUACACUAAAGGAGUUCGAAGAUGUCAUGCCUCCGGAGUUGCCAAAGACAUUGCCACCAAGGAGAGCUGUGGAUCACAAGAUUGAACUUGAGCCGGGUGCACGGGCUCCGUCUCAAGCCCCUUAUGGGAUGGGACCUAUGGGGUUGGCUGAGCUGAGGAAGCAGUUGGAUGAACUUUUGGAGUGUGGAUACAUUCAACCGUCAAAAGCUCCUUAUGGUGCCCCUGUCCUGUUCCAGAAGAAGGCUGAUGGGUCGUUGCGAAUGUGUGUGGACUAUCGGGCCAUGAACAAGGUGACUAUCAAGAAUAUGUACCCUGUUCCAAACAUCACGGAGCUAUUUGACAGACUCUCCAAGGCCAAGUACUUUACAAAGCUGGAUCUGAGGGCAGGAUAUUGGCAGGUUAGGAUUGCAGAGGGGGAUGAAUCUAAGACCGCAUGUGUCACUAGGUAUGGGUCUUAUGAGUUCUUAGUUAUGCCAUUUGGUUUGACAAAUGCACCCGCUACAUUGUGCAAUCUUAUGAAUGAUGUUCUAUAUGAGUACUUGGAUCGGUUUGUGGUUGUAUACUUGGAUGAUAUCGUGGUCUAUAGUGAUAGCUUGGAGGCACAUAUAGAUCAUCUAAAAUGCAUUUUCACCAAACUGCGAGAACACAAUCUUUAUGUGAAGAAGGAGAAGUGCGAGUUCUGCAGGGAGGAGAUUCAUUUCCUUGGGCAUGUCAUUAGCCAAGGAUUGGUGAAGAUGGAUUCGAAGAAAGUUGAGGCCAUCAUCGAUUGGCCUGUCCCUAAGAAAGUGGCAGAGUUGAGAUCUUUUCUUGGCCUUGCGAAUUACUAUCGCAAGUUUAUUCAGGGUUACUCAAGGAGGGUGAAUGUCUUGACGGAUUUACUGAAGAAGGAUCAUAUCUGGGACUGGAAUGCUGAGUGGCAGGCGGCGUUUGAGGAUCUGAAGGUUGUUGUUUCUUCAGAGCCUGUGCUCAAACUUCCAGAUUUUGGAGUACCAUUUGAGUUGCACACUGAUGCUUCUGAUCGUGCUGUUGGUGGAGUGUUGGUUCAGAUGGGACACCCGGUGGCCUAUGAAAGUAGAAAGCUGAAGGAUGCUGAACAGAGGUACAACACCCAUGAAAAGGAGAUGACGGUUGUGGUGCAUUGCUUGGAGACAUGGCGGCAUUACUUGUUGGGAGCGAAGUUUGUGGUUUGCACCGACAAUGUGGCAAACACAUACUUCAAGACCCAAAAGAAGCUGACCCCGAAGCAGGCCCGUUGGCAGGAAUUUCUGGCUGAGUUUGACUUUGUGUGGGUACACAAGCCGGGGGCACAAAACCAGGUGGCAGAUGCUUUGAGCAGAAAGGUGCAAGAGUCAGUGGUAUCUUUGUCGGUUGUGCAAACUGAGUUCCUAGAAGAGAUCAGGCAGCAGUCCAAGACAAACAUCGUGUAUCUAAAGCUUGUGGAGGAGGUGAAAGCAGGCGUGGUUCGUAAGUAUUGGCUGGAGGAUGGGCUACUAUACGCUAAGGGUAGUAGGCUCUUUGUACCUCAACGAGGAUCACUUCGGCAGCGAAUCUUGAAGGAGUCUCAUGAUGCCAAGUGGGCAGGACACACGGGAGUAGCAAGGAUGCUAGCAUUGCUUGGUAGAUCCUACUACUGGCCAAAGAUGUUCGAUGAUAUUGAGGCCUAUGUCAAGUCUUGCUUGGUGUGUCAGCUUGACAAGACUGAAAGGAAGAAGGAAGCUGGACUUCUUCAACCCUUGCCUAUUCCAGAGAGACCGUGGCAGUCUGUGUCGAUGGAUUUCAUUCUUGGAUUUCCUCAGGUUGAUGGAAAGGGAUCAAUCUUUGUGGUGGUUGAUCGGUUCUCGAAGUAUGCUGUGUUCAUCCCCGCACCGAAGGUAUGUACAGUAGAUGUGGCAGCUGGCCUUUUCUUUCAGCACGUUGUGAAAUAUUUUGGGUUGCCCGAGGAUAUUAUCAGUGAUCGUGAUAGCCGAUUCACGGGAAGGUUCUGGACGGAAUUGUUUGGGUUCUUGGGAAGUGAGUUGAAGUUUUCUACUGCAAAUCACCCCGAAACAGAUGGUCAGACCGAGCGCAUGAAUCAGUUGUUGGAGGAAUAUCUCAGGCAUUAUGUUUCAGCUAGUCCGAGGAAUUGGCUAGAGUUGGUUGAUGUAGCUCAGUUUUGCUACAACUUGCAACAGUCUUCGGCGACUGGCAAGAGCCCCUUCGAGGUGAUUUUUGGAGUUCAACCUAGAACCCCAAACGAAGUGGCUAUACAGAAAUCUGGUGGAGCAUGUCCCGCCGCUUACAGGUUUGCUCUUGGGAGACAAGAGAUGGUACAUGAAGCCCAUUCUAGUCUUGAGAAAGCUUUAAGGAGGAUGAAGAAGUAUGCUGACCAGAGGCGUCGUCCCUUAGAGUUCGAGGUCGGCGAUCAGGUGUUAUUGAAAUUGACACCACAGAUUUGGAAGAAGAUCAAAUCUAGGAAGAUCCACAAAGGGCUCGUUCAGAAAUAUGAUGGUCCCUUUGAGAUCGUGAAAAAGGUGGGCACGGUGGCUUACCGCUUGAAGUUGCCAGAUAGGUUGAAGUUGCAUCAUACAUUCCAUGUUAGUUUCUUGCAGCCGUUCCAGCCAGAUUUGUUGCUUGAUGGGAGAAAGCAAAAGAAUCGGGCACUUCCAGUGAUAAGGAAACAGUACGAAAAGAAGGUGAAGAAGGUUCUCAAUCAUUUGACUCAAGGGAUGAGUAAGAAGAAUAGGAGGACUGAUUACCUUGUACAGUGGGAGGGCGAGGACGAGGCCGAUGCUACUUGGGAGAAGGGAGUAAACCUAUGGCAGUUUGAGGACCAGAUACGGGAGUAUUGGGAUCACCCCUCGAUGAGGACAUCGAGUUCUUUCGGUGGGGGUGGUUUGCUAGACCCUUAAGCGGCGUCUAAGACUCGGGCUAAGGGCCGGGACUGUGGACUCGAUGGGAGGUUCAUUUGAGUUGGGUCCUAGCACGAGUAUGAGCCAGGCGUUCGGGCUUGGCAUGGCACUAAGUUGUGGACUUGGGGCUUGAGAUGAAGUUGGGCACUUGCAUACAGUUGAACAGUCUAAGCAUGGGGCAGAGCAACAGAGACCGAGUUUGGGUUCAUGAGUUCUAGUGGCACACUUGGCUUAUGGGAGUCAGGCAGCAUGGCGCAAGGGUGAGAGAGGCAGGUUUGGGUGUGACUUGAACAAGGGCACG